UAAGCGUACACGGUGGAUGCCCUGGCAGUCAGAGGCGAUGAAGGACGUGCUAAUCUGCGAUAAGCGUCGGUAAGGUGAUAUGAACCGUUAUAACCGGCGAUUUCCGAAUGGGGAAACCCAGUGUGUUUCGACACACUAUCAUUAACUGAAUCCAUAGGUUAAUGAGGCGAACCGGGGGAACUGAAACAUCUAAGUACCCCGAGGAAAAGAAAUCAACCGAGAUUCCCCCAGUAGCGGCGAGCGAACGGGGAGCAGCCCAGAGCCUGAAUCAGUAUGUGUGUUAGUGGAAGCGUCUGGAAAGGCGCGCGAUACAGGGUGACAGCCCCGUACACAAAAAUGCACAUAUUGUGAGCUCGAUGAGUAGGGCGGGACACGUGGUAUCCUGUCUGAAUAUGGGGGGACCAUCCUCCAAGGCUAAAUACUCCUGACUGACCGAUAGUGAACCAGUACCGUGAGGGAAAGGCGAAAAGAACCCCGGCGAGGGGAGUGAAAAAGAACCUGAAACCGUGUACGUACAAGCAGUGGGAGCACGCUUAGGCGUGUGACUGCGUACCUUUUGUAUAAUGGGUCAGCGACUUAUAUUCUGUAGCAAGGUUAACCGAAUAGGGGAGCCGAAGGGAAACCGAGUCUUAACUGGGCGUUAAGUUGCAGGGUAUAGACCCGAAACCCGGUGAUCUAGCCAUGGGCAGGUUGAAGGUUGGGUAACACUAACUGGAGGACCGAACCGACUAAUGUUGAAAAAUUAGCGGAUGACUUGUGGCUGGGGGUGAAAGGCCAAUCAAACCGGGAGAUAGCUGGUUCUCCCCGAAAGCUAUUUAGGUAGCGCCUCGUGAAUUCAUCUCCGGGGGUAGAGCACUGUUUCGGCAAGGGGGUCAUCCCGACUUACCAACCCGAUGCAAACUGCGAAUACCGGAGAAUGUUAUCACGGGAGACACACGGCGGGUGCUAACGUCCGUCGUGAAGAGGGAAACAACCCAGACCGCCAGCUAAGGUCCCAAAGUCAUGGUUAAGUGGGAAACGAUGUGGGAAGGCCCAGACAGCCAGGAUGUUGGCUUAGAAGCAGCCAUCAUUUAAAGAAAGCGUAAUAGCUCACUGGUCGAGUCGGCCUGCGCGGAAGAUGUAACGGGGCUAAACCAUGCACCGAAGCUGCGGCAGCGACACUAUGUGUUGUUGGGUAGGGGAGCGUUCUGUAAGCCUGUGAAGGUGUGCUGUGAGGCAUGCUGGAGGUAUCAGAAGUGCGAAUGCUGACAUAAGUAACGAUAAAGCGGGUGAAAAGCCCGCUCGCCGGAAGACCAAGGGUUCCUGUCCAACGUUAAUCGGGGCAGGGUGAGUCGACCCCUAAGGCGAGGCCGAAAGGCGUAGUCGAUGGGAAACAGGUUAAUAUUCCUGUACUUGGUGUUACUGCGAAGGGGGGACGGAGAAGGCUAUGUUGGCCGGGCGACGGUUGUCCCGGUUUAAGCGUGUAGGCUGGUUUUCCAGGCAAAUCCGGAAAAUCAAGGCUGAGGCGUGAUGACGAGGCACUACGGUGCUGAAGCAACAAAUGCCCUGCUUCCAGGAAAAGCCUCUAAGCAUCAGGUAACAUCAAAUCGUACCCCAAACCGACACAGGUGGUCAGGUAGAGAAUACCAAGGCGCUUGAGAGAACUCGGGUGAAGGAACUAGGCAAAAUGGUGCCGUAACUUCGGGAGAAGGCACGCUGAUAUGUAGGUGAAGUCCCUCGCGGAUGGAGCUGAAAUCAGUCGAAGAUACCAGCUGGCUGCAACUGUUUAUUAAAAACACAGCACUGUGCAAACACGAAAGUGGACGUAUACGGUGUGACGCCUGCCCGGUGCCGGAAGGUUAAUUGAUGGGGUUAGCCGCAAGGCGAAGCUCUUGAUCGAAGCCCCGGUAAACGGCGGCCGUAACUAUAACGGUCCUAAGGUAGCGAAAUUCCUUGUCGGGUAAGUUCCGACCUGCACGAAUGGCGUAAUGAUGGCCAGGCUGUCUCCACCCGAGACUCAGUGAAAUUGAACUCGCUGUGAAGAUGCAGUGUACCCGCGGCAAGACGGAAAGACCCCGUGAACCUUUACUAUAGCUUGACACUGAACAUUGAGCCUUGAUGUGUAGGAUAGGUGGGAGGCUUUGAAGUGUGGACGCCAGUCUGCAUGGAGCCGACCUUGAAAUACCACCCUUUAAUGUUUGAUGUUCUAACGUUGACCCGUAAUCCGGGUUGCGGACAGUGUCUGGUGGGUAGUUUGACUGGGGCGGUCUCCUCCUAAAGAGUAACGGAGGAGCACGAAGGUUGGCUAAUCCUGGUCGGACAUCAGGAGGUUAGUGCAAUGGCAUAAGCCAGCUUGACUGCGAGCGUGACGGCGCGAGCAGGUGCGAAAGCAGGUCAUAGUGAUCCGGUGGUUCUGAAUGGAAGGGCCAUCGCUCAACGGAUAAAAGGUACUCCGGGGAUAACAGGCUGAUACCGCCCAAGAGUUCAUAUCGACGGCGGUGUUUGGCACCUCGAUGUCGGCUCAUCACAUCCUGGGGCUGAAGUAGGUCCCAAGGGUAUGGCUGUUCGCCAUUUAAAGUGGUACGCGAGCUGGGUUUAGAACGUCGUGAGACAGUUCGGUCCCUAUCUGCCGUGGGCGCUGGAGAACUGAGGGGGGCUGCUCCUAGUACGAGAGGACCGGAGUGGACGCAUCACUGGUGUUCGGGUUGUCAUGCCAAUGGCACUGCCCGGUAGCUAAAUGCGGAAGAGAUAAGUGCUGAAAGCAUCUAAGCACGAAACUUGCCCCGAGAUGAGUUCUCCCUGACUCCUUGAGAGUCCUGAAGGAACGUUGAAGACGACGACGUUGAUAGGCCGGGUGUGUAAGCGCAGCGAUGCGUUGAGCUAACCGGUACUAAUGAACCGUGAGGCUUAACCUU
rnacentral:rRNA from 1 species